AUACAGAGGGUGCGAGCGUUAAUCGGAAUUACUGGGCGUAGAGCGCGCGUAGGCGGCUUAUUAAGUCAGAUGUGAAAUCCCCGGGCUCAACCUGGGAACUGCAUCUGAUACUGGUAAGCUAGAGUUUUGGAGAGGGAAGUAGAAUUUCAGGUGUAGCGGUGAAAUGCGUAGAGAUCUGAAGGAAUACCAGUGGCGAAGGCGACUUCCUGGCCAAAAACUGACGCUGAGGUGCGAAAGCGUGGGUAGCAAACGGGAUUAGAAACCCUAGUAGUCC
rnacentral:rRNA from 1 species